GAAAGCCCAGCUCCUUUCUGCUCAUUGGCUACACGUUUGUUUUGAUUUUUGUUUAUUAUCGGCCCAACUCAAAAAUCAGAGACCCCACCUUUAAUGUGUCUUGAGGACAAUUUUGUAAAUAUUUGACGGAUUAAACAGACCAACGGGCCGUAGUUUUCAGUAAUAUGUCAAAUUAAAGAAUUAAUGUCAUUGUCAAAAAAUGUCAUUGUUUCCAAAUUUUCAUUUAAUAAAUCAAUACAUAAAUAUACUAGAUUUAUCCUUAAUAGUGCAACUCUUCGGAUAUUAUAAGGAAAUGUAAUUUAAACAGUGACAGGGUUAGUUAUAGUGUAUAAGACAUAACUUUAUUAUAUCAUCUGUCUAACUCUACCUUCUGAAGAAUGUCUCUCAUUCUGACUGGUUCUGAUGUUUCCUAGUGAGUGAAGAGACUCAGGACUCAGCAGCACCAAUCAGGAGAAGACACAGUAUGGGGGGAAAUCGUCCAACAAUGAGUGAAGAGACUCAGGACUCAGCAGCACCAAUCAGGAGAAGUAACAGUUUGGGGGGAAAUCGUCCAACAAUGAGUGAAGAGACUCAGGACUCAGCAGCACCAAUCAGGAGAAGUAACAGUUUGGAGGGAAAUCGUCCAACAAUGGGUGGAGAAUAGUCUAGUCCACAUUCUCCAGCAUCGGUUCCUGUAGCAGAACUAAGGCUGGUGCUGUUGGAGAGGACGGGGUCUGGGAAGAGUGUAACAGGAGACACCAUCCUAGGCAGAGAGGAGAGGAACAAGGCUGCUACAGAUGCAGCAGCUCAGAAUUGCUGAUUGACUACCGCACCAUCACUGUCUCAUCAAUGUGUGAUUCUGCCAGACAUCCACUAGGAAUGCUACAAUGGUCUUGUUCCCCCCGCUCUGACAUAGUUAAUGAGUAGCUGCCUUAUUCACUACGCGCGUUUGUUGUAAUGAUGCAUUGAUCCACCAGGUGGCGCUGUGAUCAGUGUAACAAUUGCUGGCUUUAACCAAUGAAACGUCUCUAAAUUAAAUGUAAACAAAUUGCAGCAGAGAGAGAGAGAGACAGGUUGAUCAGACAUAGCCUCGCGUUUUAUGAUAUUUGAAAUCCUUGCUUGGUCUCUAUUGCACUCCCUUGAUUUUUCACUUUACACUUUUCUGGGGUGGGUUAUUUUAAUUAUAUGAAAUAAUUACAUAAUUAUGUAAAAUAAAAGGUUGUUUUCAAUACAAUUUUGGAGCAAAGACCUUGUUUGCUGUCACAGAGUAAACACUGGAAUUUUUUAUUUGUAUAAAGAACUGCAAAUGACAAAUUAAUCUCACAGGUUUCUUGUGCAAAUACACCAUUAAGUGACAUACAAGCACCUGACUCGUCUAUUGUGUCCAGUCCGAUUGCAUUAACAUACCUAUAGAUGUAGGAGGUUUGAAUCGCAGAUGUGUGGUAACACUCAUUCCUAUGGGGGAUGUUGUGAACAUCAAUGUCAAGACCCAAAUGUGCCUAGUAACCAUAACAAAGAAUGUUGAUGUCCCCCACUUCUUUCAGACAGAAUAGUCAGUCUGGUUAGAACAGGCUUCUGCUGCUGCAAAUCUGAGAUUUGUAGUCAUAACUAGAACGGUAUAUUUCCUAAAGAAAAUGUGAAUGUGCUUGCACGUGGCAAAUUCCCCUCAUCGUGCUGAGUGUUUUGAUAUAUGACAUGUCCAUGUUGUGCUAAAUUUUUGAUUUCGCUUAUUUUGGGG